GGCAGCAGUGGGGAAUAUUGGACAAUGGGCGAAAGCCUGAUCCAGCAACGCCGCGUGAGUGAUGAAGGCCUUCGGGUUGUAAAGCUCUGUCAGAGGGGACGAAUUGGGGUGACCUAACACGUCACUCAGUGACGGUACCUUCAAAGGAAGCACCGGCUAACUCUGUGCCAGCAGCCGCGGUAAUACAGAGGGUGCAAGCGUUGUUCGGAAUCACUGGGCGUAAAGGGCGUGUAGGCGGUGGGGUGUGUCUGAUGUGAAAGCCCUUGGCUUAACCGAGGAACUGCAUCAGAAACUACCUCACUCGAGUGCGAGAGAGGGUGGCGGAAUUCCCAGAGUAGAGGUGAAAUUCGUAGAUACUGGGAGGAACACCUGAGGCGAAGGCGGCCACCUGGCUCGCAACUGACGCUGAGACGCGAAAGCGUGGGGAGCAAACAGGAUUAGAUACCCUGGUAGUCCACGCUGUAAACGAUGAUGACUAGAUGUUGGAGGAAUUGACCCCUUCAGCGUCGCAGUUAACGCGAUAAGUCAUCCGCCUGGGGAGUACAGUCGCAAGACUAAAACUCAAAUGAAUUGACGG
rnacentral:rRNA from 1 species